UUGGCGAAACGGGCAAUCGCGGGGGAUUUAACGAUUCAACGAGGAAAGUCCGGGCUUCACACAGCAGGAUAACGGCUAACGGCCGCCGAGGGUAACCUUAGGGAAAGUGCAACAGAGAUAUACCGCCAUGCAAAUGGUAAGGGUGGAAAGGCGAGGUAAGAGCUCACCGGGGCGCGGGAGACUGCGCUGCCAUGUAAACCCUAUCCGAAGCAACACCGACCGGAGGUCAGCUGGACAUCAACUCCGACGGGUGGCUGGAGCCGUGCGGCAACGCACGGCGUAGACAGAUGAUUGCCUUAAACGACAGAACCCGGCUUACAGUUUCGCCCGCACC
rnacentral:RNase_P_RNA from 1 species